rnacentral:rRNA from 1 species
UACGUAGGGCGCGAGCGUUGUCCGGAUUUAUUGGGCGUAAAGAGCUCGUAGGCGGCUUGUCGCGUCGACUGUGAAAACCCGCGGCUCAACUGCGGGCCUGCAGCCGAUACGGGCAGGCUAGAGUUCGGUAGGGGAGACUGGAAUUCCUGGUGUAGCGGUGAAAUGCGCAGAUAUCAGGAGGAACACCGGUGGCGAAGGCGGGUCUCUG